GCCUCCUUAGCUCAGUUGGUAGAGCAGACGACUGUUAAUCGUCUUGUCCCAGGUUCGAGUCCUGGAGGAGGCG
rnacentral:tRNA from 1 species